rnacentral:rRNA from 1 species
CCUACGGGAGGCAGCAGUGGGGAAUAUUGGACAAUGGGGGGAACCCUGAUCCAGCCAUGCCGCGUGUGUGAAGAAGGCCCUCGGGUUGUAAAGCACUUUCAGUGAGGAAGAACGCCUGGUGGUUAAUACCCAUCAGGAAAGACAUCACUCACAGAAGAAGCACCGGCUAACUCCGUGCCAGCAGCCGCGGUAAUACGGAGGGUGCGAGCGUUAAUCGGAAUUACUGGGCGUAAAGCGCGCGUAGGUGGCUUGAUAAGCCGGUUGUGAAAGCCCCGGGCUCAACCUGGGAACGGCAUCCGGAACUGUCAAGCUAGAGUGCAGGAGAGGAAGGUAGAAUUCCCGGUGUAGCGGUGAAAUGCGUAGAGAUCGGGAGGAAUACCAGUGGCGAAGGCGGCCUUCUGGACUGACACUGACACUGAGGUGCGAAAGCGUGGGUAGCAAACAGAAUUAGAUACCCCAGUAGUC